CCCCGCCCCGCCUCGCCCGCGGCCCCGGACACGGGGCGGGACCGAUCGGCGGAGGCGGCACCGCGGCCCGGCCUCGCCUCACGGAGCCGCCCGCGCCCCGUCGUGCCUGGCGCUUCAGAGUGCUUCAAGUUACAACUGGAGGGAGACAAAGGGAGCAGCAGAUGAAUGAAGCAACAAUAACCUUUAAUAAUCCAUCCCAAAGCCUUGGAUAUAGUAACUACAUCUAAACUGUAGAAAGAAGAGUUAACAUCCCCCAGCCCUCUGCCAUCGGUGUCACCUGGAGCCCAGCACGAGCGCUAACAGGAGCAAGGAGGUGACACACCUGCAGGCCAGCUUUUCACCAGCUGCUGCCUGCAGACCCCAGGCCUUACGAAGAGCCUUGCUGGAGAAGCACCUGGUGCAGCAGGCAGACCCAAGUGACAGUCCUGCUGCAGGACAGCCUCAGGGACACUCAGGCCAUGGCUUGAGCAGGCCCUUUGCACUCCCCAGCAUCACCUCCCCGGGUAAAGCUGCGAUUGCCUUGGCAUCAGCUCUGCCUUGGAAGCUGGAAAGGGUUUCCUGGGGUGAUGGGGUGAAACUGACUGCUUGUGCCUCUUGGUGGUGGUGAGCCUGGCCUCUAUGCCAUUGUUUCCUACACAAGUCCACAGCUUGGGAUGUGAAGAAUAAAAACUAUUUCUGGAAGUGAAUAUUUCUACAGUGAUGUACAGUCCAUGGGGACCAUAACAAACAUCUCCCGUUUCUCUUUCAGAUGAGAGGUAUCUGUCAGAUGUUAACUUCUAACAAUUCAAAUCCUCUCUCUGUACAUUGUCAUUAUUAAUAAAAGGAAUAUUUUUCACUCCACUUACACACAUCACUGGCUUGCUCUUCUCAGAGCACUGCUGGACUCCCAGGGCUGCAGUGAUGAGUUUAGGGCAGGAAUUCUAUCAAUAAAGCAUUUGACCAAACUGCCAGUGGGAUCUGAAAGGACACCACUGCUACUGGAUGGGGAAAUAGCUAUAUGUAA